CGUAGGCGGUCUCUUAAGUCAGAUGUGAAAGCCCGGGGCUUAACCCCGGAAGUGCAUUUGAAACUAAGGGACUUGAGUAUGGGAGAGGGAAGUGGAAUUCCUGGUGUAGAGGUGAAAUUCGUAGAUAUCAGGAGGAACACCGGUGGCGAAGGCGACUUCCUGGACCAAUACUGACGCUGAGGCGCGAAGGCGUGGGGAGCAAACA
rnacentral:rRNA from 1 species